UAGCGCUUAUGGGGUAGUGACCCCGCCAGCGCCUAACCACCAACUGCCUGCAAAGGAGGCAAUCAAUGGCUAC
rnacentral:antisense_RNA from 1 species